UACUGCUAUCGGUGUUCGACUAAGCCAUGCUAGUUAAAUGUUCUUCGUGAACAUAGCGGACUGCUCAGUAACACGUGGACAAUCUGCCCUUGGGUUCAGCAUAACCCCGGGAAACUGGGGAUAAUUCUGAAUAGAUCACAUAUGCUGGAAUGCUUUGUGAUUAAAAGAUCCGUCGCCCAAGGAUGGGUCUGCGGCCUAUCAGGUUGUAGUGGGUCUAGAGUACCUACUAGCCAACGACGGGUACGGGUUGUGAGAGCAAGAGCCCGGAGAUGGAUUCUGAGACAUUAAUCCAGGCCCUACGGGGCGCAGCAGGCGCGAAACCUUUACACUGCGGGAAACCGCGAUAAGGGGACACCGAGUGCCAGCAUACAAUGCUGGCUGUCCACAUGUGUAAAUAGCAUGUGAUAGCAAGGGCCGGGCAAGACCGGUGCCAGCCGCCGCGGUAACACCGGCGGCCCGAGUGGUAAUCACUAUUAUUGGGUCUAAAGGGUCCGUAGCCGGUUUAAUCAGUCUUCCGGGAAAUCUGACAGCUCAACUGUUAGGCUACCGGGGGAUACUGUUAGACUU
rnacentral:rRNA from 1 species